CCCACCUGCAGGAAACCAAUGUACAUGUGCCGGCUCUGGAGAGGGUCCAGAAGAUGUUUACAAGAAGGAUCACAACGUAUGGGGUUAGCAAGAUCGAGCCAAUUUCAAAAGGUAAACAAUUCUUCUCGAACUGAACUGAGGUUGAAAUUUCUUCUUUGAAGUUUUUCAGUUCUUCCUUUAUACUUGAGAUUUAUCUUGAAAUAAAAGUACGAAGGUCCUCCAUUUGUUUUUUUAGUCUUUGUUUUCAGGACAAGUUUUGAAACUUCCUCUUGGGACGACGCUGAAAUUGCAUAUUCAGCCACUCCUGUCCUUCAGGAUUCAAUACUGCUGGAGUACUGUAUCGCCACUCUCUGUGUUAGAAUUUCAAUUCUUGCCCUUUAACGAGAAAACAAGCAUCUGAGACCCACGAUAAACUACAAUUGGUCUGAAGGAGGGUCUCGACCCGAAACGUCACCCAUUCCUUCUCUCCAGGGAUGCUACCUGUCCCGCGGAGUUACUCCAGCAUUUUGUGUCUAUCUUCAAUGCCUGCAUGUUUUGCUGGAUCAGUUAGCAGAAGUAGAAUCAGCAAAUAAUGACAAACAAUAUUCUCAAGUUAUAAUUAUUUAUGGAAUAUUAUA